AUCAGUAGGUCCCGGGUUCGACUCCUGGUGCCGGCACCAUACAAGGUUUUAAAGGUGGUUUUUGCAGCCUUUGAAAUCUCCGAAAAACCCGCCUUUUGGCGGGUUUUUUCGU
rnacentral:misc_RNA from 2 species